CCUACGGGUGGCAGCAGUGGGGAAUAUUGCACAAUGGGGGAAACCCUGAUGCAGCGACGCCGCGUGAGUGAAGAAGUAAUUCGUUACGUAAAGCUCUAUCAGCAGGGAAGAAACACUGACCUUACGGUCAGCAGACGGUACCUGAGUAAGAAGCCCCGGCUAACUACGUGCCAGCAGCCGCGGUAAUACGUAGGGGGCAUGCGUUAUCCGGAUUUACUGGGUGUAAAGGGAGCGUAGACGGUGCGCCAAGUCUGGAGUGAAAUGCCGCAGCUGAACUGCGGAACUGCUUUGGAAACUGGCGAACUAGAGUGCGGGAGGGGUAAGCGGAAUGCCUAGUGGAGCGGUGAAAUGCGUAGAUAUUAGGAGGAACACCGGUGGCGAAGGCGGCUUACUGGACCGUAACUGACGUUGAGGCUCGAAAGCGUGGGGAGCAAACAGGAGUAGAUACCCUAGUAGUC
rnacentral:rRNA from 1 species